rnacentral:rRNA from 1 species
UACGGAGGAUGCAAGCGUUAUCCGGAUUUAUUGGGUUUAAAGGGUGCGUAGGCGGGAAAAUAAGUCAGUGGUGAAAUCCUACAGCUUAACUGUAGAAUUGCCGUUGAUACUGUUUUUAUUGAGUAUGGUCAAGGAAGGCGGAAUGUGUAAUGUAGCGGUGAAAUGCUUAGAUAUUACACAGAACACCAAUUGCGAAGGCAGCUUUCUGGCCCAUUACUGACGCUGAGGCACGAAAGCGUGGAGAUCGAACAGGAUUAGAUACCCU